CCUACGGGAGGCAGCAGUGGGGAAUAUUGCACAAUGGAGGAAACUCUGAUGCAGCGACGCCGCGUGGGCGAAGAAGUAUUUCGGUAUGUAAAGCCCUAUCAGCAGGGAAGAAGAAAUGACGGUACCUGAGUAAUAAUCACCGGCUAAAUACGUGCCAGCAGCCGCGGUAAUACGCAUGGUGCAAGCGUUAUCCGGAUUUACUGGGUGUAAAGGGAGCGCAGGCGGGACGGCAAGCCUGAUGGGAAAGCCCGCGGCCCAACCGCGGGAUUGCAUUGGAAACUAGAGGGCUGGAGUGCCGGAGUGGAAGGCGGAAUUCCUAGUGUAGCGGUGAAAUGCGUAGAUAUUAGGAAGAACACCGGUGGCGAAGGCGACUGACUGGACGGUGACUGACGCUGAGGCUCGAAAGCGUGGGGAGCAAACAGGAUUAGAUACCCCUGUAGUC
rnacentral:rRNA from 1 species